CGUUGCAACUAGCCGUUUUUUACCGUUUGGAGUCCAAAAAAUUCGAAAAAAAAUUGCAAAAAAUCACAAAUUUCAUCCCCAAUCCCUCUAUAUAUACCCCUACCCGGGUGGAGCUCAUUCCACACACCAUUUCAUCUCAUUUUUCUCUUCCAAACUCCUCUUUCUUCACACAAUGUCGGGUUGGUCCCCAGAUUUGAACACCUUCACGGAUCUCUUGCAGUCCGAUGGGUCACCUACAACCCUUCCGUUAGAUGAGUCUUCUUCACUACAUCGUCGCUCCGAUGUUUCAGCCUCACUCCCCCGUGCACUAUUUCCGGCUGCGCGUCCACCACCAUACCCUUAUCCCUAUCAUUUGUAUCAAUAUCCACCGUCUUCAUAUGGUCAACCUCCAACUUCCCAAGCCGGAAUUCAAGCCUCAUUCCCGGUACGUCCGUAUGCCCCUCCCCCAUCUGCUGCGGACGAAAGUCAAGCUUCUUUCCAGAUACCUCCAUACGCCCCUCCUCCAUGUGCUCCACCUCCGUAUGGAGUACCUCCUUAUGCUCCAUAUGCUCCACCUCCGUAUGGAGCACCUCAUCCAUAUGCUCCACCUACGUAUGGAGCACCUCCUCCAGUUGCACCUUUAUCUGUUGGAUCUGAAAACCAAGCCGAGGAAAAUCCCGUGCCGAAGGAAAAGCGUCCAAAGAGGCUAAGAGUGGACGAAGGAAGACGAGGAAAAGCUGGUUAAUGCUUGGUUUAUGCAUUCUAAUGAUCCCAUCUCCGGCAACAAUAAGAGCGGUUCAAGUUUCUGGGGCCAAAUAGCGGCAACAUAUAACUCCACCUCCGACCCUAUCCGUCAUCGAACCGCCAAGCAACUUAAAGAUCAUUGGGUCACCUACAACCGGGAGGUGACCAAGUUCAAUGGAUUCUACCUCCAAGAAGAAAGGUUGCGUCAGAGCGGAGCUGACGAUGCAAUGGUCAUGGAUGCAGCAAUGGCGAGGUUCGAGGGUAAAAUGGGGCAUCCAUUUAAGCGCCAUCAUUGGUGGCAAGUUGUUCGCCACGAGCCCAAGUGGUCAGCAAAGCAUGGUCUUGGUAGUGGAUCUGAUUCGACUGCGAAUAAGAGAACCCGACUUGGAGUCUCUGGUGAAUAUAGUUCUGGAGGCACUGAAGACACCGAGGAGGAAGUGUCCCGACCAGUGGGGCGUGAUAGGGCAAAGGCGGCUGCGCGAAAGACAAAGACGAAGGGGAAAGGGAAGGAAGCCACGAGCAGCGAAUCAACAAGUGAAGCAUUCAAAAUGAAGAACUUGUGGGGUGGAUUAGUGAAGGCCAAGCUUUUGAAGCAAUGGAACAUCCUAAAGGGCCGAUCAACCAGAUAUAUGAACCCGGCUGAAAGACGUACCCAUGUCAGGGCCGUAAAGAUGGUCGAAAAAGAACUUGGUCUGCUAGAUGACGUAGAAGAGGAAUCGGAAGCGGAACGUGAAGAGGAGGAAGAUGAGGAUGAGAUCGAGGAGUCCGAUUAGAGUUAUGUAAUUUUAUUUUAAUUAUCAUGUCAUUUUAUUUUAAUUAUUAUGUACUUUGUAAUUUUUAAUUCAAUAAAAAAUAUUAUGUUGUGUGUUU
rnacentral:misc_RNA from 1 species